AGCAAGUAUGGGCAGACGUCAAUUUGAGGCUGACCAAUCAACUAAAAAUAGGAUCAUACACUGUAGAGGAGCACUACAUAUUGAAAACAAGGACCACACAAAGAAGAGGAGGACCACACAUGAAAUAUGAGGACCACACAUGGAAGAGGACAACUACACAAGGAAGAGGAGGGCUACAUAAAGAAGAAGAGGACCACACAAGGAAGAGGAGAACCACACAAGGAAUAGGAACUAUUGCCAGGAAAUGAGAAACCAAGAUAUGUAGACCCUUACACAAUGAAAGAUUGGGAGAAUUAAAUCACCUGCCAGCAAGAGUACCAAGAGCUGGACACCAAAAAUACCCACAGAGUAGAGAGCAUUGCCAGGGUACAGGGCAUUCAUUAUACCAGCAGCCAUUUAUUUAAGUGAAUGAUGGUUAGACAAGCUUUGAUCCCAUGAUAGAGGACACUUCCAUCACUCACAAGGAGCAGUCCAGGGACCUGAGAUACACAAUGGGCAGCCAUAGAAGAAAG